AGCUACCAUGCAGUCGAGCGGUAGAGAGAAGCUUGCUUCUCUUGAGAGCGGCGGACGGGUGAGUAAUGCCUAGGAAUCUGCCUGGUAGUGGGGGAUAACGUUCGGAAACGAACGCUAAUACCGCAUACGUCCUACGGGAGAAAGCAGGGGACCUUCGGGCCUUGCGCUAUCAGAUGAGCCUAGGUCGGAUUAGCUAGUUGGUGAGGUAAUGGCUCACCAAGGCGACGAUCCGUAACUGGUCUGAGAGGAUGAUCAGUCACACUGGAACUGAGACACGGUCCAGACUCCUACGGGAGGCAGCAGUGGGGAAUAUUGGACAAUGGGCGAAAGCCUGAUCCAGCCAUGCCGCGUGUGUGAAGAAGGUCUUCGGAUUGUAAAGCACUUUAAGUUGGGAGGAAGGGCAGUUACCUAAUACGUGAUUGUUUUGACGUUACCGACAGAAUAAGCACCGGCUAACUCUGUGCCAGCAGCCGCGGUAAUACAGAGGGUGCAAGCGUUAAUCGGAAUUACUGGGCGUAAAGCGCGCGUAGGUGGUUUGUUAAGUUGGAUGUGAAAUCCCCGGGCUCAACCUGGGAACUGCAUUCAAAACUGACUGACUAGAGUAUGGUAGAGGGUGGUGGAAUUUCCUGUGUAGCGGUGAAAUGCGUAGAUAUAGGAAGGAACACCAGUGGCGAAGGCGACCACCUGGACUAAUACUGACACUGAGGUGCGAAAGCGUGGGGAGCAAACAGGAUUAGAUACCCUGGUAGUCCACGCCGUAAACGAUGUCAACUAGCCGUUGGAAGCCUUGAGCUUUUAGUGGCGCAGCUAACGCAUUAAGUUGACCGCCUGGGGAGUACGGCCGCAAGGUUAAAACUCAAAUGAAUUGACGGGGGCCCGCACAAGCGGUGGAGCAUGUGGUUUAAUU
rnacentral:rRNA from 1 species